rnacentral:rRNA from 1 species
CCCUUAGAUGUUCUGGGCUGCACGCGCGCUACACUGAAGCGUUCAACGAGUAUUCACCUUGCCCGGGAGGGUUGGGUAAUCUUUUGAAAACGCUUCGUGAUGGGGAUAGAUUAUUGCAAUUAUUAAUCUUCAACGAGGAAUUCCUAGUAAGCGCGAGUCAUCAGCUCGUGCUGAUUACGUCCCUGCCCUUUGUACACACCGCCCGUCGCUCCUACCGUUUGAGUGAUCCGGUGAAUAAUUCGGACUGCAGCACUGCUUGGUCUCCAGGCUUUGCAGCGGAAAGUUUAGUGAACCUUAUCACUUAGAGGAAGGAGAAGUCGUAACA